rnacentral:rRNA from 1 species
CCUACGGGAGGCAGCAGUAGGGAAUCUUCCACAAUGGGCGAAAGCCUGAUGGAGCAACGCCGCGUGGGUGAAGAAGGUCUUCGGAUCGUAAAACCCUGUUGUUAGAGAAGAAAGAGAGUGAGAGUAACUGUUCACGAUUCGACGGUAUCUAACCAGAAAGCCACGGCUAACUACGUGCCAGCAGCCGCGGUAAUACGUAGGUGGCAAGCGUUAUCCGGAUUUAUUGGGCGUAAAGCGAACGCAGGCGGUCGUAUAAGUCUGAUGUGAAAGCCUUCGGCUUAACCGGAGUAGUGCAUUAGAAACUGUGGGACUUGAGUGCAGAAGAGGAGAGUGGAACUCCAUGUGUAGCGGUGGAAUGCGUAGAUAUAUGGAAGAACACCAGUGGCGAAGGCGGCUCUCUGGUCUGUAACUGACGCUGAGGUUCGAAAGCAUGGGUAGCGAACAGGAUUAGAUACCCUGGUAGUC